rnacentral:rRNA from 1 species
UACGUAGGGGGCAAGCGUUGUCCGGAUUUAUUGGGCGUAAAGAGCGUGUAGGCGGCUUUACAGGUCCGUUGUGAAAACUCGAGGCUCAACCUCGAGACGCCGGUGGAAACCGUAAAGCUAGAGUCCGGAAGAGGAGAGUGGAAUUCCUGGUGUAGCGGUGAAAUGCGUAGAGAUCAGGAAGAACACCGGUGGCGGAAGCGCUCUGCUAGGCCGCAACUGACACUGAGGGACGAAAGCUAGGGGAGCGAAUGGG